rnacentral:rRNA from 1 species
GACGUAGGGCGCGAGCGUUGUCCGGAUUUAUUGGGCGUAAAGGGCGCGUAGGCGGCCACGCACGUCCGUUGUGAAAUCGCCCGGCUCAACUGGGCGGGGUCAGCGGAUACGGUGUGGCUCGAGCAAGCUAGGGGGCAAUGGAAUUCCCGGUGUAGUGGUGGAAUGCGUAGAUAUCGGGAGGAACACCAGUGGCGAAGGCGGUUGCCUGGAGCUUUGCUGACGCUGAGGCGCGAAAGCGUGGGGAGCAAACAGG